rnacentral:rRNA from 1 species
AGAACUGUGGGGACACGUGCAGAGAGCGGAAGCCGGGAAUGGGAUCCCGGUGCAAGCGAGGUACCAGCCGCAUUGGAAGAACCGUGCGGCAAUGGGAAGACGUGAUGCGGAGUGAAGUUUAGUAAUGAAGUCCGUGAGCUGUGCGUCAAGAAAAGCCGCUAUUGUUCAUACCAUACCCGUACCGUAAACCGACACAGGUGGAUGAGGAGAGAAUCCUAAGGCCGGCGGAAGAAGCAUUGUCAAGGAACUCGGCAAAAUGACCCCGUAACUUCGGGAGAAGGGGUGCCUGCGAGAGCAGGCCGCAGAGAAUAGGCUCAAGCAACUGUUUAGCAAAAACACAGGUCUAUGCGAAACCGAAAGGUGAGGUAUAUGGGCUGACGCCUGCCCGGUGCUGGAAGGUUAAGAGGAGAGGUUAGCGGUAACGCGAAGCUUUGAAUUUAAGCCCCAGUAAACGGCGGCCGUAACAAUAACGGUCCUAAGGUAGCGAAAUUCCUUGUCGGGUAAGUUCCGACCCGCACGAAAGGCGUAAUGAUUUGAGCGCUGUCUCGACAAUGCAUCCGGUGAAAUUGAAGUACCAGUGAAGAUGCUGGUUACCUGCGCCAGGACGGAAAGACCCCAUGGAGCUUUACUCCAGUUUGGUACUGGGAUCCGGUACUGCAUGUACAGGAUAGGUGGGAGGCUAUGAAUCGGUAACGCCAGUUGCCGAGGAGCCGCUGUUGGGAUACCACCCUUGCAGUAUUGGGUUUCUAACCAGCCGCCGUGACCCGGCGGUGGGACAAUGCCAGACGGGGAGUUUGACUGGGGCGGUCGCCUCCGAAAGGGUAUCGGAGGCGCCCAAAGGUUCCCUCAGGAUGGACGGAAACCAUCCAAAGAGUGCAAAGGCAGAAGGGAGCUUGACUGCGACACCGACGGGUGGAGCAGGUACGAAAGUAGGGCUUAGUGAUCCGGUGGUAUUAAGUGAAAUGCCAUCGUUCAACGGAUAAAAGCUACCCUGGGAUAACAGGCUUAUCACUCCCAAGAGUUCACAUCGACGGAGUGGUUUGGCACCUCGAUGUCGGCUCAUCGCAUCCUGGGGCUGUAGUAGGUCCCAAGGGUUGGGCUGUUCGCCCAUUAAAGCGGUACGCGAGCUGGGUUCAGAACGUCGUGAGACAGUUCGGUCCCUAUCCGGCGUGGGCGUAGGAUAUCUGAGAGGAGCUGUCCUUAGUACGAGAGGACCGGGAUGGACGGGCCGCUGGUGCACCGGUUAGACUGCCAAGUCUAUAGCCGGGUAGCCAAGCCCGGAAGGGAUAAACGCUGAAGGCAUCUAAGCGUGAAGCCCCCCUCAAGAUGAGAUAUCCCAUCCGAAAGGAGUAAACCCCCUUGAAGACGACGAGGUUGAUAGGGCAGAGGUGGAAGUGUGGUAACACAUGGAGCUGACUGCUACUAAUAGGGUGAGGGCUUGAC